GACGAACGCUGGCGGCGUGCUUAACACAUGCAGGUCGAACGGAAAGGCCCUGCUUUUGCGGGGUGCUCGUGUGGCGAACGGGUGAGUAAAACGCGAGUAAACUGCCCUUGACUUUGGGAUAACUCCAGGAAACUGGGGCUCAUAUCGGAUAGGAGCUACUGCUGCACGGUGGGGGUUGGUAAAAUUCGGCGGUGGGGGAUGGUUUAGAGGGUUACCCGCUUGAUGGGGGGGUAGUGGCUUACCAAGGCUUUGAAGGGUAGCCGGCCUGGGAGGGUGACCGGCCACAAUGGGACUGAGGUACGGCCCAGACGCCUACGGUAGGCAGCAGGGGGGAAUAUGGCACAAUGGGCGGGAGCCUGAUGCAGCAACGCCGCGUGCGUAAUGACGUCCUUCUGGGGGUAAACCGCUUUCGCCGGAAACGAAGCGGGAUUGACGGUAAUGGGUAAGGAAGCACCGGCUAACUACGUG
rnacentral:rRNA from 1 species